GAUGAACGCUGGCGGCGUGCCUAAUACAUGCAAGUCGAACGAACAGACGAUGAUCUUGCUCCUUUCACGUUAGCGGCAGACGGGUGUGUAACGCGUGUAUCACCUACCUGUAAGACUGGUAUCACUUCGGGAAUCCGGCUCUUAUCCCGUAUGAUAUAUUGCACCGCAUGGUUCAAUAGUAAAAGACGGCUUUGCUGUCACUUCUAGAUGGAUCCGCGCCGGUUGGGCGAGUUGUUAAGGUAACGGCUUACCAAGGCAACGAUGCGUAGCCGACGGGAGAGGGUGGUAGCCCACAUGGGAAGUGAAACACGGUCCAGAGGACUAAGGUAGGCAGCAGUAGGGAAUCGUACGCAAUAGGCGAAAGCCUGACGGAGCAACGGCGCGUGAGUGAUGAAGGUCUUCGGAUCGUAAAAACGUGUUAUUAGGGGAGAACAAAUGUGUAAGGAACUAUGCACGUCGUGACGGUACCUAAUCAGAAAGCACCGGCUAACUACGUG
rnacentral:rRNA from 1 species